GUGCAGAGUUUCUCGUACACAAGUGAUAACAGCACCAGAUGAAAGCUGGGCCCGAAGACCUGAGCUACAGCUCUUCCACAAGCUUUAACAUAGAGCUGGCAGACAGGACAGCUUCUGCUGCUGGGUCCAGUUCCUGUCAUCUGUCCUUUCCUACCUGGACCCUGGCGUGGCUCUACAGUUAUGCUAGAACGCUCCAUUUCUCCAUAUGUCUUGUGUCCUUAACUCUGGUGAUAGGUUACUACUUCCGUUUUCUAGUUCUUGUUUUCUCAUCCCUCCUCCUCCUCCUCUAUAUCUUACCUUAUGCCAGGGAUUGAACCCAGGACCUUUGCUUGUCAGCCAAGCAUUCUGCCACUGAGGCCCGAUGACAAAUUUGUAGUGUAGUCUCCAUUGCUUAGUGGGUUGUAAUGACCCGGGGAUGAGGGCGUGAAGGAGAGAAGCAGGAGGAGCCGGGAGCGUGAACUCUGUAGGAACUGGAUGACUUCUGGUAUGCUAUCUAAAGCAGUUGACUCUGUCACCUCCCACUCUCCCUGUCCUCUGGCUUGCUUCUCUUGAGAGGCUCUUACCGCUUCCAAGGCACCCGAAGAAGGAAAGGAAUACAGGAAGAGAAAAGCACCAAGAUAUGAUCAGUCAAAGAGUCUUUAUUUAGGAAAAGGAAAAUAUAACAAGAGAUUUGGUGAAUGUUGAAUAGAAGGGUAAAUGUGAGCUAGAAGAGAGUUAGAGAGAGAAGAUUGGAAAGGGAGAGGAGAGAGAGAGAGAGAGAGAGAGAGAGAGAGAGAGAGAGAGUCUUGCUGAGUGAACUGGGGACUGUGUCUCCCAGGCAGAGUGGCAGAGGUUCCUAUAAGGCCUUAAAGAUGUCUGGUAGACAAACCUAGAACAUUCCUGAGAGAAAGGGGAGGUGUUUAGUGCUACCUGGGAAGGUCAUUAUGUGUUUGAGGUCUGGCUGGGACUGUCUGUUUUCACUUUUGGAACAGGUAACAGGUUUCCAACCAGAGUUCAACAUUUUGUUGCUUAAGAUUUCAUUUUUAUCUGUGUCUGUCUGUCCAUCCAUUCAUGUAUGUAUGUAUGUAUGCAUGCAUGUAUAUUUGUAUCUAUGUAUCUAUUUAUGUGUCUAUCUAUAUAUGCAUGUAUGUUUGUAUCUAUAUAUCUGUAUGUCUAUAUAGUAUCUGUCUGUCUGUCUGUCUGUCUGUCUGUCUGUCUGUCUGUCUCUCUAUCUAUCUAUCUAUCUAUCUAUCUAUCUAUCUAUCUAUCUAUCUAUCUAUCUAUCUAUCUAUCUAAUUUUUGUUCUUUGGCUUUGGUUGGCUGCAAGAAGCCUAACACUUGUCAGGGACAGGCUCCCACUUGAAUUGUGUCCAUACACACAUUUUUCCAGCCAGUCCUACCCUUUGCAGGAGGCUAGUGAACAUUUAACUGUGAAUAGCCGGCUCACAUCUGCUUCUAUUUUUCCCCUUUCUGCAGGCCAGACUAAAAAACUUAAUAAAUUGUAUGAAACCUAAGUAAGCAUGGAUUUUAGAGAACAUUAAAUAAAUUACAUAAGUAUGUCUACCUGUAACACUGUUAUAAGGUAAAUGCAGGAGGGUUAGUUUACCAUAAAUGUACACAUGAACGGAGCGUUAGUCUAAAGCCCCCUUGUUUCAGCGCCGCCGUCAUGAAAGUAGUACUGUUCCCAGUUCCCCUUCUUUCCCUCCCUGGCAAGCACUGUCCUGGGCUUGGAAAACGUGAUAAUGAUGCCGUAAGUACCCUUGUGUAAAACUUGUUUUUUUGUUCCAAAACAUUGCCAGUUCACGGCACAUAAAAACCGCCACAAUCCUUCAGCCAGUUUUCCUUCUCCCCAAAUAAGGCAAGCGUUAAUGAAGCAGCCGAGGGCCUGGGAAAAUAUUUGCUAUUCCUUAAAAUGAAAUUUCUCCUGUUCUUGGGGGGCAAGCUCAUAGACUGUCCAGCUCAAGUGAGCCAGUGUCUAGCCAGACAUUCAGUAAAACUCGUUUAUUCCUAGUAUGACUUCAAGCAGCCUUCCAUCCAUGUAGAGUUGUCCUGUCCCGUCCUGUGUCACAUCUGUGACUGGAAGCCACAUGGGAAGGAUACCUAGGUUAUCCCAGUCUACAGAGAGGAAAGUGCAGUCCAGCCAGGCUCCCUGACCUGUCUCUAGGCCUGGCAGACCCCUAGCUUCCGAUGCCUGCAGUUAGGAAUAAAGUGCAGGGGUCAGGUAGUUCUGAGGUAGAGGUAGACUCACUCACUUUCACUACUUGGCUUCACUAGGUGUUUAGGGGUUCCUGUUCAUGGUCCAAGUGCUUGGCAAAUGACAGCUCUUCUGCAUAAAUUCCAGACUACCCUCAUCAUUCUUACCUGGCCAGUGUCAUGCACCGGAGCAAGAAAUGACGUAGUUUCAGGGAGCCAGUGGAUACUCUCUUCAACACUACUCUUUCUCAAUUCUGAUGCAUCAUGAAUUGUAAGAUUUGCCCAAAUAAUGGGUUUUCAAGGAGAGAAGAAACACAACUAUGUUGAGUUUGUACAAUUAGGCACCCCCAAGAGUAGAAAAGUAGAUCUGAAGAAGUGAUGUUAGAACCGAGGGGGUAAUGCUCGUGUGGGGCCGCGGGGGGGCGGGGGGGGAGGGGCAUAUCAAAGUCAGCAGGCUGUCCUAGCUUUGAGAGACAUGCACUAAGACAGUUCCAAACAUACUUUUGGUUGCACAAAGGGGAGGCAUUGACCAGAUCAGUAUUAAAAGAAUAACUUGUGAGCCUGCAGUCAUGAGGGGCAGUCAGCGACUGGGAGGAGUCGAGCAAUUGAUUUUGCAGGAGCCCAUGAACAGAGACCAUGCGGUGGUUCCAAGUUUGCACUUUGUUUUUGGCCACUUGGAAGAAUACCGGCAUUGAAAGAGGUUGGAUUCUGCUUCUCGUGGCACACACUACAAGCAUGUCUACCUUCCAGCCUCCCCUCAGCCCAGCUCCCCACCGGGAGAAGUUGGUCUGCAGCGUGAAUAGGAACAAUGACCGUAGAGUCUUCACCAGAAGACAAUACCAGAGCGUUUAGUGCUCUGCCAGGAAGAGUGGACCCAGCACAUUAAUUAUCCUUAAUAUAAAUGUGGUGCAUUUGAACAUCUAGAUGAAGAAUGCAGCAAAGAAUAUGCAUUUCUGCCAUGAGUGACUUAGAAUAUGUCAACAUAAUGGCCCUUGGUUAUUAACACAUUAUGUGAAUUGGACAAUGAUAUACACUUUGAGGACCUUGAACUAGAUCCACCAGCUAAGAGCCUGUAGGACGGGCUCCAGAAGCCUGGGAAUUC
ensembl:sense_intronic